GAUGAACGCUAGCUGCAGGCUUAACACAUGCAAGUCGAGGGGCAGCAUGACCUAGCAAUAGGUUGAUGGCGACCGGCGCACGGGUGAGUAACACGUAUCCAACCUGCCGAUUAUUCCGGGAUAGCCUUUCGAAAGAAAGAUUAAUACUGGAUAGCAUAACGAGAAGGCAUCUUCUUGUUAUUAAAGAAUUUCGAUAAUCGAUGGGGAUGCGUUCCAUUAGUUUGUUGGCGGGGUAACGGCCCACCAAGACAUCGAUGGAUAGGGGUUCUGAGAGGAAGGUCCCCCACAUUGGAACUGAGACACGGUCCAAACUCCUACGGGAGGCAGCAGUGAGGAAUAUUGGUCAAUGGACGAGAGUCUGAACCAGCCAAGUAGCGUGAAGGAUGACUGCCCUAUGGGUUGUAAACUUCUUUUAUAUGGGAAUAAAGUGGGCCACGUGUGGCUUUUUGUAUGUACCAUACGAAUAAGGAUCGGCUAACUCCGUG
rnacentral:rRNA from 1 species